GACGAACGCUGGCGGCGUGCUUAAUACAUGCAAGUCGAACGAAGAGGCGCUAGCUUUGUCGCUUGGGCGAUUGCGGAACGGGGGAGUAACACGAGAGCAUCCUCCCUCUGAUUUUGCAUUACUCCCUGGAAACGGGGCCUAUAACAGGUUAUGAGGCGGCUCGGCAUGGAGACGGUUGGUAAAGUUAGGCGGUUGGGGAUGGACUCGCGGCCUACGAGCUUGUUGGUGGGGUAGUCGCUCACCAAGGCAUAGACGGAUAGCCUGCCUGAGCGGGCUACCGGCCACACUGGGACUGAGCUACUGCCCAGACUACUAGGGGAGGCAGUAGUUGAGAAUAUUGCACAAUGGGGCAAAGCCUGAGGCAGAGACGCCGAGUGCGUUAGGAUGUCAUUCUGGGUGUAAACCGAUUUCAACAGGGAUGUAGCGGAAGUGACGGUACCUGAUAAAGAAGCCCCGGCUAACUACGUG
rnacentral:rRNA from 1 species